GCUAUUGUAAAUAAUGCUGCAAUAAACAUAGGGAUACAUGUAUCUGUUUUAAUUAGUGUUUUCAUCUUCUUUGGGCAAAUACCCAGUGGUGGAGUUACUACAUCAUAUGGUAAUUCUAUUUUUAACUCUUCGAGGAACCUCCAUACUGUUUUCCAUGUGGCUGCACCAGUUUGCAUUCCCACCAACAGUGCACAAGGGUUCCGCUUUCUCCACAUCGUUGCCAACACCUGUUGUUUCUUGUAUUGUUAAUAUUAGCCAUUCUGACAGGUGUGAGGUGGUAUCUCAUAGUGGAUUUGAUUUGCAUUUAUCUGACGAUGAGCGAUGAUGAGCAUCUUUUUGUGUGUUUGUUGGCCAUCUGUAUGUCUUCUUGGGAGAAAUGUCUGUUUAUGACUUCUGCCCAUUUUUAGUUAGAUUACUUGUUUUUUUUUUGGAGUUGAGUUGUAUCAGUUCCUUAUAUUUUUUGAAUAUUAACCAGGACUGGGUCAGUUUUAUUCACUGUUGUAUCCAUCCCAAGGGAUGAAUCUAAGAAUCCAUCAAGUAGAUUCUUAGUAAAGUACUCACUGAAUGGCUGAUUAAUAAAUGAAUGAGUGAUCUCAAGAUGGUCUGUAACUCCAAACUCUUCUAUUUUGAGGUUUGGAACCUGAAUGUCCAUGAAAUUUCAUCUCAUUCAAUAGUUCUUGUCACUCUGAAUAAGCCCCAAUGCUACACUGGCCAUCCAUUACUCAUUCAACCAAUGCUUAUUGAGCACUCACAAUUGCCUUGCAUGGUAGGGUAUGACAGAGACAGAAGAGCGAAAACAGAGUCAGCCCCUGUCCUCUUGAAGUAUAUGAUCUGUCAGAGAAGUUGGACGUUAAAUAAAGAAUCACAUAAAUCAGUAAUUUAUUACAAUUGUGAGAAGUUUACCAAUAGAAUUCCAAGGGUUGGGAGACUUUAUAACAGGGGAUGUGGAUGUUCAGGGAAAGCUUCCAUAGAAAGUGAUGCACAAACUGUGUCGGGAGAGAAGGGUAGGUGCUGGCUUGGCUAAAAAACAUGUAGGGCAGAAGAAAAAAAAAAAAAAA
rnacentral:lncRNA from 1 species